CCUAACGGGUGGCAGCAGUAGGGAAUAUUGCUCAAUGGGGGAAACCCUGAAGCAGCAACGCCGCGUGGAGGAUGAAGGUUUUCGGAUUGUAAACUCCUUUUGUUAGAGAAGAUAAUGACGGUAUCUAACGAAUAAGCACCGGCUAACUCCGUGCCAGCAGCCUCGGUAAUACGGAGGGUGCAGGCGUUACUCGGAAUCACUGGGCGUAAAGAGCGCGUAGGCGGGAUAGCAAGUCAGAUGUGAAAUCCUAUGGCUUAACCAUAGAACUGCAUUUGAAACUGUUAUUCUAGAGUAUGGGAGAGGUAGGUGGAAUGCUUGGUGUAGGGGUAAAAUCCGUAGAGAGGAAGAGGAAGACUCAUUGCGAAGGCGACCUGCUAGAACAUAACUGACGCUGAUGCGCGAAAGCGUGGGGAGCGAACAGGAUUAGAUACCCGGGUAGUC
rnacentral:rRNA from 1 species